rnacentral:rRNA from 1 species
AAUCAACGCUGGCGGCGUGCCUCAGACAUGCAAGUCGAACGAUUAAAGCUCUCUUCGGAGAGUGUAUAGAGUGGCGCACGGGUGAGUAACACGUAAGUAAUCUACCUUCGAGUGGGGAAUAACGUCCGGAAACGGACGCUAAUACCGCAUAAUGCAGCGGCAUCGCAAGAUGACAGUUGUUAAAGAUUUAUCGCUUGAAGAGGAGCUUGCGGCGGAUUAGCUAGUUGGUAAGGUAAUGGCUUACCAAGGCUACGAUCUGUAACCGGUCUAAGAGGACGGUCGGUCACACUGACACUGAAUAACGGGUCAGACUCCUACGGGAGGCAGCAGUCGGGAAUUUUGGGCAAUGGCGAAAGCCUGACCCAGCAACGCCGCGUGAA